rnacentral:rRNA from 1 species
CCUACGGGGGGCUGCAGUGGGGAAUAUUGGACAAUGGGGGCAACCCUGAUCCAGCCAUGCCGCGUGUGUGAAGAAGGCCCUCGGGUUGUAAAGCACUUUCAGUGAGGAAGAACGCCUGGUGGUUAAUACCCAUCAGGAAAGACAUCACUCACAGAAGAAGCACCGGCUAACUCCGUGCCAGCAGCCGCGGUAAUAAGGAGGGUGCGAGCGUUAAUCGGAAUUACUGGGCGUAAAGCGCGCGUAGGUGGCUUGAUAAGCCGGUUGUGAAAGCCCCGGGCUCAACCUGGGAACGGCAUCCGGAACUGUCAAGCUAGAGUGCAGGAGAGGAAGGUAGAAUUCCCGGUGUAGCGGUGAAAUGCGUAGAGAUCGGGAGGAAUACCAGUGGCGAAGGCGGCCUUCUGGACUGACACUGACACUGAGGUGCGAAAGCGUGGGUAGCAAACAGGAUUAGAUACCCUAGUAGUC